CCUCUGUAUCGAUCAUUACAUAUAGCUGUCCAUUAUUACAUUCAAGUUACCGUUCAACGAAAGAUCAAGGGAACUGAAACACACACGAGAGUUCAAAACAUCCAAAACAAAAAAAUAAAAUAAACAAAAGGAAGUCUAUUGCUAAAACUCCAGCCAUUGGAAGCGAAAAACUCCAUCACUGCCAUCUCAAGCACACGCCACCCCGAAUUUAUUUUGGGGGUCUUUCCUCUUUCUUUUGCAACAGUACCCAAGGGUGAAUCCAAUGUGUUCCUCUGAAAAGCACUUGCAUCAAAGAGAAAGCCCGUGUCUUGUUAAAAAAACUCAUCAUUUCUGCUUAACCAAAAUGCCCAACAAAUGGUACAUGCUCCCACCGAGCCUGAUACUUAAGUUUCUUCCCUACCCGAAGCAACCAACCAUUAAACAACUGUUGAAUGUUUAAAGGUGUAUCAAUCUCCAGAUGAACUUAGCAUUUUGUCAAUAAAAAAGAGGUGUUGUGUUGACUCAUCCAAGUUGCAAAAACAACGUGGACCUGAAAAACAACAUAGAGGUAACUGUGAAACUACCAUGUGGUUCAAAGUCCACCUGUGAAGCCCAAUUUCAGAAACUCUUGUUUGACUUUCAUUAAGCUGGACCAAAACUGAGAAUCUCCAGGUAUAUGUUCAACUUGAGUUAUUAUUAAGUCUAAAAAGCCAUGUACUAAUCAAGCACCUAUUCUGCAAAUCAAGGUUUUAAAUUCCUAGUCCUCCUUGAUCUUUCGGUAAACAAAGAAUACCUAAAUCUAUAAAAAAAUAGUUUCUUUAAAACUUCUAUCAGAACUUCAAAGAAAUAUAGCAUAAAAAUAGACAGAUUACUAAGAACAAAAUUAAUGAGCACUAAGUGUCCUCCCACCAAAAGCAUCUUUCAUUUCCAACAACUAAGUUUCUUCUGGAACAUCUCUUCAACUUCUUUCCAAUCCACAUUUCUAAGUUUUGUAUAAUGCAUAGGUAUACCAAAGGUAUUGGAAGGGAAAAGAGCCCAUCUCACCAAAGCAGAGAGCUCAUUUUUAUGAAAAUUAAUCUUGAGACCAGAUAACUGUUCAACUGCACACAGCAAAAGCUUCAUAUUAUUGGCUUGCUCAAGAUUAUUUUCCAAGAAAAGUACCGUAUCAUCUGCAUAUUGCAAAAUAGAAAGACGUCAUUUACUAAAUGUGGGACUACUCCUUGACACUGACCAUUAUUUUUAGCUCUAUCUAUAAGAAUUGUUAUCAUAUCAACUACCAAGUUAAAAAGAAUAGUAGAGAGGGGAUCACCCUAUCUCACCGCUUUCUUGGUUUAGAAAAUGGCCCACAUCAUCAUUUACUUUAACUUCUACAGAUCCUCUAGAACCUACCUGAUUAAUCCAAGCACAUUAAGAUGGUGAGAAACCUUUCAUUCUCAAUACCUGUUGAAGAAAAGGCCAUUUCAGGCUAUGUCCAGCGGCUCGCACAAAACGUUGCGGAUGUGCAUUUUGCGCGACCACGACACACUAUUCACGCUUCCAGCAGAUCGUGGAUGCUGUUGCACAAAAUGUGUGGUCGGCCGCGCGGUCGCGCAUUUCCGCGCUCUUCUCCUCUACGGGAGGAUCUGCAUGUGCAUGUGUGGUCUACUGGACGCGACCACUUUUUGGCGUGCUCAUCCAACGGCCAUGUCGCUCUUGAUGCGCAUGCAAG
rnacentral:lncRNA from 1 species